ensembl:lncRNA
CUGCAAUGUCUCACAGCGAAAAGUAGCAACAGUGUAGGAAGGUGGGAAGGACGAGGCGGCCCCGCGUCCCUGACGCCGCACGCCCCAGUUCGUGCGCGCCAGCUCUCCAGAGAGGGAGAGGGGCCGGGGGCGGGGCCGGCGGGCGGGGCGAGCGCGUCGCACCGCCCGGAAAGCGUAAGCGCGGGCUCGCGGGGGCGGCUUGGGGGCGGGCUCCGUGGGGGCGGAGCUCGAGCCUUGGAGGAGGGAUGAGCUCUCGAGCUCUGGAGGCGAAGCGACUUUCAGGACUAGUUAAUCUGUGAUCGUGGAGUUUUACUGGGGCCUGUCUCUUGCUGUUGUGGAGACGCUCCCCAAAGUGGGGGAAAAAGCAAGAAAAGAAUUGCGGAAGCCUCGUGCCAUCCCGUCCCUCCGGGCGGCGCGCGGGCCGGGCCGGGGCGGGGCGGGGCGGGGGCUGGGCGGUGUGGCCCGCGCCUCAAGCGGGGGCGCGCGCGCGGGGGCUGGGCGAGGCCGAGGGAGGGGGUGGGAGCCCGUGCGGCUUGGCCGGGGGAGGGCCUGCGGAGGGGACGUGGGACGGGCGUGAGAGGUGGCGGAGCGGCUGGGGCUCCGUCUUUAGCGGGUCUGUGGAGGCAUCUUAAUCUUCCUGAGUGGGCGCGGGGAAGGCGCAGCCCACCAGACGCCGUGUUAAAGGGAAAGUCGGUUGACGAGGGAAGCGACGCGGCCCGGGGCCGCCCGGAGUCCCGCCCCAGCCCUGCGAAGGAGCGGGGCAGAGCGGUGGGCAGGUCGGCCUGGCUCCCCGCCUGCUUUCCAGCCCGGCCCGGCGCCGCUUCCCCGCCUCGGCCGAGGGGCUGUCCCGGCGCCGCCCCGAGGGCUCCUCCCUGCGCCGGGGCCCCGGCCGCCGUGCCGCGCGCGGGCCCGGUGGCUCACAUCAGCCGCGGCGCCUUGUCUCGGGCUGAGUUUUAGGGACCUGGGCUCUUGAGCUGAGCUGCGAACGCAUCGUGAUAAUGCUCUUUCGUUUAAGCGCUGGGACAGUUACAGUGAGGAGUAGUUGUUAGUCCGGGGGACAGGUGGUUCCUGACGCGGUGGUAAAUGUCUGCGUCUUAACUGAGUUCAUUUUAGGAUCCAACCGUGAGUUUUAGAAGCCCUAGUACUGGCGUGUGUGGUCAGCUCUAGGGGGGCUCCAUGAGAAACAUCCAAGCUGGAUUAUCAAAUUCGCUUUUCCGUGUUGUUCUCAAUAGCCAUUCGAUUGUAGAAGGCAGAGCCGUCCUCUUGACAAGUACUGUUGAGGUUACUGUUUUGUCUUGCAUGACGUAAGAAUUCAAACUCCAAAAAAAGCUUCUGGACAAUUUAAUAAAGGUAUUCAACAUAUAAGUGAUUUUUGAAUGAUGUUCCAUUGAAUACAGGCACAUUGGAAGAUUGGGUCUUCAAAGUGUUGUACACAAUGACUACUUGAGAAAUUUGGCUGCUACAGCUAAAGACCUUCUGCCACCUUUGGCAAUAAUUUAUUUCCCUUGCCUUCAAGCAUCCCCAGACUCCAUACUGUGUAAAGUAUGCGCAGAAUCUCCAGGGAGGAUUUUCUUAGUCUGGAGAGGUCAGCUCUGCUGCUGCUGAAUUGUAACUAGUUAAGUUUUCUAGACUUUUAUAAAGAAAGAUAGUCUUCAAGAACUUAAUACAUUCCUCAAGGGGAAACAAAGGCUUAGAGCCAUGUGCGAGAAACUGAGUGUUCUGAAGUACCAGCCUGUUUUCCUCGUAAGCCUCACAUUGCUGUGUCUCCUACCUCUCCGCAUCUGCUGGCUUGUGCACAUGGUGUUCCUGUCUCCUCUGCUGGAUGAUGGCAGCUGCAGCCCACUGCUCUUCUCUCUAAGCAAGCAUUCCAGAAAGCUUGGAGAACCGCAGCUGCCCUUUUCAGAGCAAAAGGGCAGCUAAAGCUGGAUAGCUAAAGCUGGGACUUCUUACUAAGUAAGAUAUGAACAACUCCUGCCCACCACUGCAAUUCCCCAGUGUAUAAACAUCAGCUUCCACAAACUUAAGAUAUGCCUCCGAGGAGUCAGAGGAGCUUGUUCCAACCCUUGCUAUGGUUUGGUUUUUAUCACUGGCAUCAAAUAGUUCAGUUAUUUUCCUUGCAUUAAUAGGCUUCAUUUCUGUACAAGAAAAUGUCUUAAAUGAUCAUAGUUUGUCCGUCAUCGUUUCAAGUAAAAAUGGUUUGCUAUGACAAAAGCAGCUAUUUGAGCUUGCAACUCAAAAGACUUACAUGUGCUUUUUCUGAAGACACCGUAUUUUAGUAUGCAGAAGAAUUAAUUUACGUGUAUUUCCCAUUUGUCACACAAAAUGUUAAAAGGACAUGUACUCCAUAAAAUUAAUGGUUUUUACUAAGUUUUUUUAAGGACAUUCUUAAACUUUUUUUUUUAUAACGUGUGGCAGGAAGAAUACAUUGACUUAAUUCAUGCUAGCAGUUUUACUCACCAUUGCUUUUGCACCAUCAAUGCAAAUGCCAAUGCAGGUGUUCCAAGAUAAACUAUGAAAUUCAAAAAGUUCAUUUACCACUUUGAUAUUUCAGCAGAAGUUGUAUUUAAUGCCUGUCAUUCAAAUAAAAGAUCUUCUCUGAUGAUUAGUUGGUGCUGAUACCAGAUAGAUGUAGGCAAAACAGCUAGUCCAGCAAAAUCUGUAGGCCUGCCCAUUUUUUAAGGUAAAAUUACAAUUCUGCAGACGAGAUAUCAACCCAAUCUUCAUGAUUUCAGUUAAAUCUUUAAAAAGUUACUGUAUAUGUGGAAAAUUGAACUUACGUAAUUUAUUUUACUGACUUUUCAUCCAGCAGGUAUUGCGAUGUCAUCUGUAUACAGCUUCAUUCGUAUUUUGUAUGCUCCAGCCAAUGCAAUACAAUAAUUCAGUCUGUAAAGUGUUUCCGUGGCUUUUUCACUUCUGAUUUCAAAAGCUAGAAUAAUGUUUGGCUUUAAAGAGCUUUUCACAUCUAUUUUUUAAUAUAUUCAGUUCCUUUUUCUUUAAACUCUCAUCUCAAAAUGAAACUACAACUUAUCUGAAAGUCUUUUGUUACAUAAGACACAAUAAGGUAAAUUGUUAACAUCUAUAAGGCCAAGGAAAAGAUACUUUUCCUUCUAUUUUUAUUUUUUAUUUAUAUUAUAUCCAGUUUCUUUAAAUAGAUUACUUCCUUCCAUGAAUCAGAGGACUCUGAUAUCUCAGUUUCAUCUUUUUUGGCAUUUUUUGACGUAAUCCAUUCGUUGGGGUGAGAAAGCAAUUCUUCUAAUCUCCCAUUUAAAGCCAACGAUCCAUCCAUUUCCCAUGUUGUUUCUUCCUUUGCAUAAAUUCAGAUUUCUAUCUGGUUUCAUUUCUCUCCUGCAUUUCCUUCUUUAACAUUUCUUUUUCUCUUUUUUUUUGAGGAAGAUUAGCCCUGAGCUAACUACUGCCAGUCCUCCUCUUUUUGCUGAGGAAGACUGGUCCUGAACUAACAUCCGUGCCCAUCUUCCUCUACUUUAUAUGUGGGGCACCUGCCACAGCAUGGCUUGUUGAGAGGUGCCAUGUCCACACUCGGGAUCCGAACCAGCGAGCCCUGGGCCUCCGAGAAGCAGAACGUUUGAACUUAACCACUGUGCCACCGGGCCAGCCCCUCUUUAACAUUUCUUGUAGUGCAGUUUUCUAGUGAUGAAGUUUCUCAAGUUUUU